UACGAAGGGGGCUAGCGUUGUUCGGAAUUACUGGGCGUAAAGCGUGCGCAGGCGGCUUCUCAAGUCAGUGGUGAAAGCCCGGAGCUCAACUCCGGAAUUGCCAUUGAAACUGUGAGGCUUGAGGACGAGAGAGGUGAGUGGAAUUCCCAGUGUAGAGGUGAAAUUCGUAGAUAUUGGGAAGAACACCAGUGGCGAAGGCGGCUCACUGGCUCGUUUCUGACGCUCAUGCACGAUAGCGUGGGGAUCAAAC
rnacentral:rRNA from 1 species